UCACGCUUAUCAACUUAAUAAUGGUUUGGUUGAGGGUUUUAGGUCUCAUCACAUAUAAAUAUUCAUUUUAAUCUAAUUAAAACAAUUUUGGUCCUAUUACAACUGUUGGUCCAUAUGAUUGUUUUUAGUUGUAUAUAAUACUCCCACUAUGCUUAUAAAACGUUUUUAAAGCAAGAGUAUAUGAUACUACUAACAUAACCUUUGCAUUCAUUUGAUGGACUAUAUAGUUGCCUUAGGGCCUUAGGAUGACUAUGAACCUUUGUUUAGAUUCAACACGAGCCUUGUGUUGAAUCUCGGUCUAGGGAUGGUGAUUGAUUUUAGUUACACGUUUAAUCACAUUAAGGCGUGUUGUCUUAGGGGCGUUGGACCCAACUACUUCAUUUUCAUGCAUAUCAAAUAAAGCAAGAAAGAAGUACUUCAAAGUAAAUGUGAGCUUAUGCUCAUUACAACAUUUGCAUAAAACAAAUUACCUUAA
rnacentral:lncRNA from 1 species